GACGAACGCUGGUGGCGUGCUUAACACAUGCAAGUCGAACGGUAAGGCCCUUCGGGGUACACGAGUGGCGAACGGGUGAGUAACACGUGGGUGAUCUGCCCUGCACUUCGGGAUAAGCCUGGGAAACUGGGUCUAAUACCGGAUAGGACCACUGCCUGCAUGGGUGGUGGUGGAAAGCUUUUGCGGUGUGGGAUGGGCCCGCGGCCUAUCAGCUUGUUGGUGGGGUGAUGGCCUACCAAGGCGACGACGGGUAGCCGGCCUGAGAGGGUGACCGGCCACACUGGGACUGAGAUACGGCCCAGACUCCUACGGGAGGCAGCAGUGGGGAAUAUUGCACAAUGGGCGCAAGCCUGAUGCAGCGACGCCGCGUGAGGGAUGACGGCCUUCGGGUUGUAAACCUCUUUCAGCACCGACGAAGCGCAAGUGACGGUAGGUGCAGAAGAAGGACCGGCCAACUACAUGCCAGCAGCCGCAGUAA
rnacentral:rRNA from 1 species